rnacentral:lncRNA from 1 species
UGGUAUGAGCAUAUGGUGUCACUGGUUCUCGCAUCUAAGUAGUAGCAUUCCAUUCAUAAGAUCAUAUCUAAACAUGCUUAAUAACUCCAGAAAAUUGCUUUCUUUGUUAUAACAUAUGUGAGUCCUAGUCUUUCGUAUUUACAUCAAUCUUCUCACAUAUACUAGUGUAGGGUGUGUAGUUAGAAAAUGUGUGUGAAAAUAGAGAGUAUCUUGUAAGGAAUUGAGCAAAUUCUCUAAGGCAUGUUACUACAUUCAAAACAUUGUUUUAAUUGGUUAAUUGUGAACUAGUAAGUGGUGAUUGUGAUUAAGUAUGUGCUCAAGUGUAAAGAUGACCAAAAUCUGUGGGAAUGAUGAUUUUUAACAUGUCAUGUUUCAUUAAAAAUCCCUAAGGCAAAUGUUGGAAGAUCUAGGUUGUGUUUUGUUUGUUUAGUUUGUU